rnacentral:rRNA from 1 species
AUUGAACGCUGGCGGCAGGCCUAACACAUGCAAGUCGAACGGUAACAGGAAACAGCUUGCUGUUUCGCUGACGAGUGGCGGACGGGUGAGUAAUGUCUGGGAAACUGCCUGAUGGAGGGGGAUAACUACUGGAAACGGUAGCUAAUACCGCAUAACGUCGCAAGACCAAAGAGGGGGACCCUCGGGCCUCUUGCCAUCGGAUGUGCCCAGAUGGGAUUAGCUUGUUGGUGGGGUAACGGCUCACCAAGGCGACGAUCCCUAGCUGGUCUGAGAGGAUGACCAGCCACACUGGAACUGAGACACGGUCCAGACUCCUACGGGAGGCAGCAGUGGGGAAUAUUGCACAAUGGGCGCAAGCCUGAUGCAGCCAUGCCGCGUGUAUGAAGAAGGCCUUCGGGUUGUAAAGUACUUUCAGCGGGGAGGAAGGGAGUAAAGUUAAUACCUUUGCUCAUUGACGUUACCCGCAGAAGAAGCACCGGCUAACUCCGUGCCAGCAGCCGCGGUAAUACGGAGGGUGCAAGCGUUAAUCGGAAUUACUGGGCGUAAAGCGCACGCAGGCGGUUUGUUAAGUCAGAUGUGAAAUCCCCGGGCUCAACCUGGGAACUGCAUCUGAUACUGGCAAGCUUGAGUCUCGUAGAGGGGGGUAGAAUUCCAGGUGUAGCGGUGAAAUGCGUAGAGAUCUGGAGGAAUACCGGUGGCGAAGGCGGCCCCCUGGACGAAGACUGACGCUCAGGUGCGAAAGCGUGGGGAGCAAACAGGAUUAGAUACCCUGGUAGUCCACGCCGUAAACGAUGUCGACUUGGAGGUUGUGCCCUUGAGGCGUGGCUUCCGGAGCUAACGCGUUAAGUCGACCGCCUGGGGAGUACGGCCGCAAGGUUAAAACUCAAAUGAAUUGACGGGGGCCCGCACAAGCGGUGGAGCAUGUGGUUUAAUUCGAUGCAACGCGAAGAACCUUACCUGGUCUUGACAUCCACGGAAGUUUUCAGAGAUGAGAAUGUGCCUUCGGGAACCGUGAGACAGGUGCUGCAUGGCUGUCGUCAGCUCGUGUUGUGAAAUGUUGGGUUAAGUCCCGCAACGAGCGCAACCCUUAUCCUUUGUUGCCAGCGGUCCGGCCGGGAACUCAAAGGAGACUGCCAGUGAUAAACUGGAGGAAGGUGGGGAUGACGUCAAGUCAUCAUGGCCCUUACGACCAGGGCUACACACGUGCUACAAUGGCGCAUACAAAGAGAAGCGACCUCGCGAGAGCAAGCGGACCUCAUAAAGUGCGUCGUAGUCCGGAUUGGAGUCUGCAACUCGACUCCAUGAAGCCGGAAUCGCUAGUAAUCGUGGAUCAGAAUGCCACGGUGAAUACGUUCCCGGGCCU